CGAACGGGUGAGUAACGCGUGAGGAACCUGCCUCAAAGAGGGGGACAACAGUUGGAAACGACUGCUAAUACCGCAUAAGCCCACAGGUCGGCAUCGACCAGAGGGAAAAGGAGCAAUCCGCUUUGAGAUGGCCUCGCGUCCGAUUAGCUAGUUGGUGAGGUAACGGCCCACCAAGGCAACGAUCGGUAGCCGGACUGAGAGGUUGAACGGCCACAUUGGGACUGAGGCACGGCCCAG
rnacentral:rRNA from 1 species